GUGUCAGCCGCCGCGGUAAUACGGAGGGGGCCAGCGUUGCUCGGAAUUACUGGGCGUAAAGGGCUUGUAGGCGGUCUGAUAAGUCCUGUGUGAAAUCCCUUGGCUUAACCAAGGAACUGCGCCGGAUACUGUCGGACUAGAGGCCGGGAGAGGGAAGCGGAAUUCCCAGUGUAGCGGUGAAAUGCGUAGAUAUUGGGAGGAACACCGGUGGCGAAGGCGGCUUCCUGGACCGGUUCUGACGCUGCAGAGCGAAAGCUAGGGUAGCAAACAGGAUUAGAAACCCCCGUAGUCC
rnacentral:rRNA from 1 species